rnacentral:rRNA from 1 species
GAUGAACGCUGGCGGCGUGCCUAAUACAUGCAAGUCGAGCGAACGGACGAGAAGCUUGCUUCUCUGAUGUUAGCGGCGGACGGGUGAGUAACACGUGGAUAACCUACCUAUAAGACUGGGAUAACUUCGGGAAACCGGAGCUAAUACCGGAUAAUAUUUUGGACCGCAUGGUUCAAAAGUGAAAGACGGUCUUGCUGUCACUUAUAGAUGGAUCCGCGCUGCAUUAGCUAGUUGGUAAGGUAACGGCUUACCAAGGCAACGAUGCAUAGCCGACCUGAGAGGGUGAUCGGCCACACGGGAACUGAGACACGGUCCAGACUCCUACGGGAGGCAGCAGUAGGGAAUCUUCCGCAAUGGGCGAAAGCCUGACGGAGCAACGCCGCGUGAGUGAUGAAGGUCUUCGGAUCGUAAAACUCUGUUAUUAGGGAAGAACAUAUGUGUAAGUAACUGUGCACAUCUUGACGGUACCUAAUCAGAAAGCCACGGCUAACUACGUG